GCGCCCGUAGCUCAGUUGGAUAGAGUAUUGGCCUCCGAAGCCAAAGGUCGCUGGUUCAAAUCCAGUCGGGCGCGCCA
rnacentral:tRNA from 1 species